rnacentral:rRNA from 1 species
GAUGAACGCUGGCGGCGUGCCUAAUACAUGCAAGUCGAGCGAACGGACGAGAAGCUUGCUUCUCUGAUGUUAGCGGCGGACGGGUGAGUAACACGUGGAUAACCUACCUAUAAGACUGGGAUAACUUCGGGAAACCGGAGCUAAUACCGGAUAAUAUUUUGAACCGCAUGGUUCAAAAGUGAAAGAAGGUCUUGCUGUCACUUAUAGAUGGAUCCGCGCUGCAUUAGCUAGUUGGUAAGGUAACGGCUUACCAAGGCAACGAUGCAUAGCCGACCUGAGAGGGUGAUCGGCCACACUGGAACUGAGACACGGUCCAGACUCCUACGGGAGGCAGCAGUAGGGAAUCUUCCGCAAUGGGCGAAUGCCUGACGGAGCAACGCCGCGUGAGUGAUGAAGGUCUUCGGGUCGUAAAGCUCUGUUAUUAGGGAAGAACAUAUGUGUAAGUAACUGUGCACAUGUUGACGGUACCUAAACAGAAAGCCACGGCUAACUACGUG